rnacentral:rRNA from 1 species
AGAGUUUGAUCCUGGCUCAGGACGAACGCUGGCGGCGUGCCUAACACAUGCAAGUCGAGCGAGAAUCUUUCAGAUGAUUCCUUCGGGAUGAAUUUGGAAGAGGAAAGCGGCGGACGGGUGAGUAACGCGUGAGUAACCUGCCCAUAAGAGGGGGACAACAUCGAGAAAUUGAUGCUAAUACCGCAUAUUGAGUGAGAAUCGCAUGGUUUUCACUUGAAAGAUUUAUCGCUUAUGGAUGGACUCGCGUCUGAUUAGCUAGUUGGUGAGGUAACGGCUCACCAAGGCGACGAUCAGUAGCCGAACUGAGAGGUUGAUCGGCCACAUUGGGACUGAGACACGGCCCAGACUCCUACGGGAGGCAGCAGUGGGGGAUAUUGCGCAAUGGGGGCAACCCUGACGCAGCAACGCCGCGUGAAGGAAAGAAGGCCUUCGGGGGUUGUAAACUUCUGUCUUUAGGGAAGAAGAAAGUGACGGUACCUAAGGAGGAAGCCACGGCUAACUACGUGCCAGCAGCCGCGGU